UACGUAGGUGGCAAGCGUUGUCCGGAUUUACUGGGCGUAAAGAGCGCGCAGGCGGCUGGGCAAGUCCGAUGUGAAAGCUUCCGGCUUAACUGGAAAAUUGCAUCGGAAACUGCUCGGCUUGAAGGUGGGAGAGGGUAGCGGAAUUCCAGGUGUAGCGGUGAAAUGCGUAGAUAUCUGGAGGAACACCGGUGGCGAAGGCGGCAUCCUGGACCGGUAUUGACGCUGAGGCGCGAAAGCCAGGGGAGCAAACGGG
rnacentral:rRNA from 1 species